rnacentral:misc_RNA from 1 species
UUUCCGUAGGUGAACCUGCGGAAGGAUCAUUCUUGUAUAAUCGAGGUGCGAGGGCUGUCGCUGACUUGAAAGGUCGUGUAAACCCGAGUGGUCUCACAUACAUACACCUCACCACUUUGUGUACUACUGAGUGUGUCCUCCUUUGGCUUGUUCGGCGGGGGGAUUACGUUUUCACCCAACCUUUGCCUGCAUUGUUGCAUGUAUUUUUAGUUUUUGCGAUGACGCAAUGCAUAUAACUUUCAUCAACGGCUCUCCUGGCUCUCGCAUCGAUGAAGAAUG